UGCGUAGGCGGGGCAAUUAGUCAGUGGUGAAAUCCUGCGGCUUAACCGUAGAACUGCCAUUGAUACUGUUGUCCUUGAGUAUAGUUGAGGUGGGCGGAAUGUGUAAUGUAGCGGUGAAAUGCAUAGAGAUUACACAGAACACCAAUUGCGAAGGCAGCUCACUAAGCUAUAACUGACGCUGAGACACGAAAGCGUGGGGAGCGAACAGGAUUAGAUACCCUGGUAGUCC
rnacentral:rRNA from 1 species